rnacentral:lncRNA from 1 species
UCUUCAACAAGGACCUGUUGUCUACCCUGCACCUCCUUGUGGCCCUGGCCAAGCGCUUCCAGCCCGACCUCUCCCUCCCAACCAACGUCCAGGUGGAGGUCAUCACUAUCGAGAGCACCAAAAGUGGUCUGAAGUCAGAGAAGUUGGUGGAACAGCUCACUGAAUACAGGGAUGCAGCCAAGAUGCUGGCCAGGUGGGGCUGCCAUCCUCUGAAGGCUUGGCUGGGGCUGGA